rnacentral:rRNA from 1 species
UACGUAGGGUGCAAGCGUUAAUCGGAAUUACUGGGCGUAAAGGGUGCGUAGGCGGUUAUUUAAGUCUGCCGUGAAAUCCCCGGGCUCAACCUGGGAAUGGCGGUGGAUACUGGAUAGCUAGAGUGUGUCAGAGGAUGGUGGAAUUCCCGGUGUAGCGGUGAAAUGCGCAGAUAUCAGGAAGAACACCCGUGGCUAAGGCGGCUCUCUAGUACGGUACUGACGCUGAGACGCGAAAGCGUGGGGAGCGAACAGG